UACGAAGGGGGCUAGCGUUGCUCGGAAUCACUGGGCGUAAAGCGCACGUAGGCGGCUUCUUAAGUCAGGGGUGAAAGCCCGGGGCUCAACCCCGGAACUGCCUUUAAAACUGCAUCGCUUGAAUCCGGGGAGAGGUGAGUGGAAUUCCGAGUGUAGAGGUGAAAUUCGUAGAUAUUCGGAAGAACACCAGUGGCGAAGGCGGCUCACUGGACCGGUAUUGACGCUGAGGUGCGAAAGCGUGGGGAGCAA
rnacentral:rRNA from 1 species